GAUGCCAUAAUUUUUUUACAGGAUGUUAUAAAUAAAUAAGGUAUUUUCAUCAACGCAAGAUAUCGUACUAUUAGCAAAGGAUGUCAUAAUUUUUUUGAAAAGAAAAAAAUAUUUUUGUCAUUUAAAAUUUUAAAUGAAAAAAUAGAAUUAUGAAUAUUAAAUAUACGUUGGAAAAUGAUAAUUACAUGAUUCAAUAAGAUGAAGUGGUGCAUCAGAUUUUCUACGCCGCGGAUGGUGCACAAAGAAUUUCUCUGGACUGUUAUGUCAAAU
rnacentral:lncRNA from 1 species